UACGUAGGGGGCUAGCGUUAUCCGGAAUUACUGGGCGUAAAGGGUGCGUAGGUGGUUUCUUAAGUCAGAGGUGAAAGGCUACGGCUCAACCGUAGUAAGCCUUUGAAACUGGGGAACUUGAGUGCAGAAGAGGAGAGUGGAGUUCCUAGUGUAGCGGUGAAAUGCGUAGAUAUUAGGAGGAACACCAGUUGCGAAGGCGGCUCUCUGGACUGUAACUGACACUGAGGCACGAAAGCGUGGGGAGCAAACAGG
rnacentral:rRNA from 1 species